rnacentral:Y_RNA from 1 species
GGCUGGUCUAAGUGCAGUGGUGCUUACAACUAAUUGAUCACAAGUUACAGAUUUCUUAGUUUCUUCCCCAUUCCCGUUGCUUCACUUGACUAACAAAA